CAUACUGUGCAAUGACUGUGACAAGAAGGGCACUGCACCAUUCCAUUGGCUUUACCAUAAGUGCAGGUUUUGUGGAUCGUAUAAUACCAGGGUGAUCAAGGUUGAUUCAACAAAUUCAAUCUGCUCAACUUCGAACCAAUGAGGGCAUAGACUUCUGAUAGCUGGUGUAGGCGUGUAAAUACUGGCGUUGUAAAUCAUAUGCCAUUAAAUAGUUAAUUCAAUCUUUCAAUUUUUCCCCCCAGGCACAUAUUAUAUCUCAUGAUCUUUUGCUGUUUUUUACAUCAAGCUUGAUGUCUAUUACCAAAAAAAAAACUGCAAGCAAUAGGGAAUU
rnacentral:misc_RNA from 1 species